UGCCAAGGGCCCACAUGCUAGAGCCCAGGA
rnacentral:piRNA from 1 species